AGUUAAUCGAUAGAGAUUUACGAUCAGAUAAGCGAGUAGUUUAGAACAGUUUUAGAAAAGUGAUUUAGUGCUACUACAAUUUUGAUGAUCUUGACCGAUCAAAUGCUUCGAUUUCUACCGGAAUUUGCAGGCAGCGCGCGAAAUUCGAGAAGAAUCGAACAACAUGACUCGAGGAGAAAAUGGACAGAAUCGCUAUCGAUAUUGUACGGUGAGAAAACGGGAAGAGAAACAGUAACGUAAUGGUAUUCGAGCGAUGCAGCAAAAUAAUUAGAGAGAAUCGUUGAAUAGACGCUACGUCUCAUUAGUACGAGUACCGAUAAAAAAAAAAACAGGCCGACCCUUGCUUACUGAAACGAGAGAAACAGAAAGAAAUAACGGACCAAUUACGGCAUUGAACCGACUCUGGAAUCAGUAAAAUCAAUCAGAAAAAAUCGUUCUAAGCAAUAUACACAAACACGAAGUUAUACGAACAGUCGUACCUGUUUUAAUCGCGUAUGUACAUUAAUAUCCAUUUAAUCUCUUCGAUACGAACGUUGGGCAGCCACCAAGUGCAUUCCCGAACGGUUAACAUCGACAAUCGCUAUUGAAAUUAGGCAAGUUGCUGGAAGUGGACACUCGAAUUUUCUGUCUUGACAUUUUCUUGAGAUGGAGGGGGAAGGAAUGAGUAAUUGGUAAAUGCAUGAUUUGAAGAACGAGAAGUUCUAACGCCUACGUAUUAAUUAGCGAGAAGCCGUGAGAUGACCACGCGCGACAUUCGAGGGUAGGUAAGAAAAUAAUAAAGCGCAUGAGCUUGAGGAAACGAAAAAAAGGUAAAUUAAUUCAAAGAAACUCCGCGUCUUUGGGUUUCCGUUGGUUAUAAACAGUCAUCGAUUAUUUAAACUAUUUCUAAAGACUCGAUGGCUUUAUAAUCGUACCGUUGCGCUGCAACAAUAAUUAAAAUAAAACAUUCGUAAUACAAUAUGAAAAUCUUAUUCGAAGGAAUCAGUAAUUUUUGCGAGCACAUAGCCUCGCGAUUUCGACAAUAAAUUCAUAUAUACAUUUCGUAGACGCAAAUUUAUGAAAACUUUCUCGUGUUUGCGAUGCGUAAAAUUUAUAUUCGUUAAUACAGUCAACAGUUGAGAAACAGUUGAAAGUUGAAAAUAUCGGUGAAAAAUUAUUCGACACAGAAUUUCUGACGAGUGAUUUAUUAGAUAUAAUAUCUAGUAUUGUAUAUGCGAGACAGCAAUGGUCUCGCAGAACGAAUUCAGACUUUCGUUCGUGUGUUCGUUUCGUGUACACUUGCAGUGGGAGCCUCUAAAAAUAUCAUUGUUACAAUAUGCAGCGGAUGUGGAUUAUAAACGAGCGUUUUACAAGAGGAUAAAUCGUGAAAUUUUAUGUUACUCGUCCGAACAACGUCGCUAGUAUCUUCGCUAAGUUCGUGCUCGAGUUUAAUUCGUUUCCAAAUUUCAUGAUCGUGUAUGACAUAUAGUCUUAAUGUUCUAGUAGAAUAAUUAUAAUUAUUACUACUUAAUUUUAUUACUAUUAUUACUUCUAUUCCAUCACAACAUUUUCCACACAAAAUCAGAUAAGGUAUUUCGUUGAAAUGUCCGUCGACGUAUACCACAAACUCGUAGGUUACAUAAUUGAUACCUAAUCAACAACAAACAAUUGUAUCGAUCUCGAACGCACUGUUACAAAGGUAUUCGAGAACGAGAUAGCAAGCGUUGCUUCUAGAAUUUGCAAGAACGGCCGUUGGUUUGCGUGUCGCUUAGUAAGCACUUCUGCGUGAGAACCGAGCGUGCUCGCGUGUGUAAUGGAAUAUCAUCAGUCGCGCGAUACGUUUCGAAGUAUCAUUCAGAAAUUCCUGCGAUAAUAUUACAUUUACGAUCGACAACGUGACGCCACGUGUAUGACAAAGAUCGAAACGAAACGAUAUCCAGAGACCAAAAGGGAGGGAAAAAGAAAGAGAAAGAAGGAAAAAGAGAGGAAUAGAGAGGAGACAAAGACAGGACUAGGCAAGUGGAGUGAGAAAGAGGGAGAGGGAGAUACGAUCCAGUUUCAAUCCUUUUCUAAACGGUACGAAAUGAAACGAAUAUUCCGUACGGCUUGUGCGUUCGCGAUCUUGCGUCGUUGCGGCGCAGCGGGUUCGUUCAUAAUUACUGGCAGGCUGAAAACUGAAAUCGAAAGAGGCGGAACGAAAUUAGUAACAAUAACGUUAGCCUGCGGCACGGAACGCUGUAACGAGCGCUUUCACAUGGGGAACAAAGGAGGAACCGAGCUUCGAUUUCGCUCGUUGCCGAGGGAAAGAGGGAAAAUACAUACGCGCGCGCGCGCGUUAAAGUCAGAAAGAGAUGGAGAAUCAGAAAGAGAAAGAAGGGAGGCAGACGGUUGAAAGAGAGAAAUCGAAAAGCAAAAGAAAAAAAAGGGCCAAGCAAAAAGAAUCGCGGAGAAGACUCAAAAACUCGGUGGCUGCAAUCCGCAAUCCCUGGCCGAACAUUCUCUUCCUCCCUAUCUCGCUCUUCGAUUCGAGCUAACGUAAGCGCUUUCACGUGGGAAACCAAGUGGUUCGGCCGCGUUUGUAGUCAGACAUCGCCAGUAGAAUUUGCGCGCACACUGCUAGACCGCAAGUCACCGUUGCUUGUCGCGCGCUAGCGAUAGACAUGCUUGCAUUUUUCAGCACCUUCAGCGAUUCCACCGUUCUGCUACGUUAUCUAUACCGAAACCUUCCACUUUCCCCUAACGUUCGCCCUCAUUUUUCUGCACGCCUUUCGCUGAAUCAUUUUUCCCCCUUUUUGAUCAUUUUCUCUCUCUGUCUCUCUGUGUCUACCUCUUUUUCGCUUUUUCUUUCAUGCUAUUUGGAAGAGAUGCGAACGUCACGUUUCUGUAAAAGGAGCAUCUUGUUUCAGAAUUCGAGGUGAAAUAUUUUGAUUGUUCUUGUGGAAAAAAUUCUUUUGUUUCGAAAUGAGCACACUUUUGGGUUAAAAUUUUGGAAACGCUUCUAUUUUCAAUCUCUAUUCUGGCAUUUUUGUAAGAGCGAAAAAGCAGUAUUAUAAAGCAGUUUCAAUGAGAAGUUAAAUUACGAUUAUUUAUAUUAACCCUUUCAAUAACAAAUUUUUGAUGCAUUGCGUGGCAGGGGUUCAGAUGCAUUCUAAAAUGUGGAGUUCGAUGCUAUUAGCAGCGUAAAAAUUGAUUCCGGACACGUUCAACGAAAGAUUCGUACAUUGUAAUUUCACAUCUGUAAAAAAGGAUAUUGUGUCGUUUGAAAUUUCUAUCGGCUACAUCGGCGUGGUAUUUUAAAUUCGCUACGAACGGAUUUGCAAAAUACGACACGGCAAGGAAAAAGAGUCACAGGAUAACGAUACGCGAAUAAUAUCAGAAUUUAUAAUGCGACGUUUACAAAAUAUUUCACGAGCGCCGGCCAAUUGAGUAUUACACAGCACGCAAACGCGCCAAUGCUGGUCUCUAUUUGAAUAUUAAACGAAAUCUUUGUUUCCGGUUUAAUUAAUAAAUUUCAACGUCGAUUUAUAAUUCACAAUCUGUACAGCCAAAUAGAAGCAUGGCUGGCCAGGGAAAAUUACCGUGUUACUCGAACGUAAUUCGAAGGACUGACUGCCGAUCGAUAAAUCGUAACGAGUCUGUAUGCGUGAGUUUUCAAUGUAUGAGAAAUAAUCAUCUCGAUGAAAUAUUCGAUGGAAAUUAUCGUUGUUACGCGAGGAUAUUUUCUAUAAUUAGGAUAUAAUAUCGUUGAACGUUAUAAAAUCACCGAUAUAAGAAACUCGUUUCUACAGUCAUAAAGAGGAAGUUGUUUAUUCAAUUACGUUAUUACACUUAAAUAUCAUUUACAGUGCAUGCCGAUUAUAAGAAAUCUCUCUCCACAUCAACUUUCUAAUUAUUAUUAAAUAGUUUAAUUACGUAUACAUGUACAGAUGCAUUAUCGAUGAAAGAAAUAUUAACACGAUAGUAUCUAAUUACGGUUGCGUAAUACUUCUCAAUGAUUAAAUAGAAAAUAUCAUGUCUAACCGCAAACGUACAAUUACUUUUCUAUUAUUAUCUGUUGUCGAUGUAUUAAACAUACAUAUACAGGUUUAACAUUGUUCACGUUAUCAUAACACAUUGCAAUCAUUUGUAAAUAAAUAACGUCUCAUCGUACUCAAAUUUUUAAUUAAAGCUUCACCAAAAAAUCCGCUUCUGUCGUCGAAAUUAACACUCGCACACUGAGAAAACCAUAGGGACGGACGCUCGUUAUAGUCAGCGCGAAACCGUAGAACGAGCUUCAUGGUUCGUGAUCAACGAUUCUCACGCUAGAUUGGUCACAUGCGUGAAAAUUGAGACGCACCGAUACUUUUUCCAUUAAUUUAUGAAAGUGGAACCGGAAAGCUGUCGAAAUCAUAGAAAUGGAAAUAACACCGUGAUUUUUAUUUUGCACCGAAAUGAUCAUUUCCCAUUUCGACUAAAUUGCGAGUUCUUUUAUUACUUUGGCUUACAGCUACCAUAACCGACGCUAUGCAGCCCUAUGAAAAUGUCCACAUUAAAAUCUAUAUCGCAACACGACCGCCCAUCCAUCGAUCCAGGAAAACUAAUUAACUAAUUUUCUAUGGUUUACUUCAUUCCUCGCCCGCCUCCUGUUGUUGCGUAUAUGUGCGUGUGUAUUGCGACCCAGUGUUCUCGCCACUUUCCACGUUGCUCUAAACAAGGUUCGAAACAGGUUUUUGCUGGUUAACGAUAACCAACGACGGCAGAAGUUUACUCUCCUCGGACCGGAACGUACCAUUAAACUUUACGCCGCCACGAGAAUCGUGCGCAGCUUCGACACGUUAUGUUUUCAACUUAGAUUUAUCGACUAACCGACGACUGUUGCAGAAAUAAUCGAGAAAUUGUUCCUCGAUUUCUUCCAAGAUCGGUGUACCGUUCAAAUGGUAUGCCACUUGAUUAACGACUUUUUGUUUUCCUCGAAAAAUCCUCCGUUUUUCUGUCAGAAGUCACGCGUGCGGGUGAAUCGAACAGCGAUCGAGUAAGCUACUUAACACGUAUUUAGAGGUUUUAAUUCAAUAUUUUUCCAAUAUUUCAAAAACAUCCUAUAGAAUCCAGUGACUUUCCACGUCAAAUAGGAAUAACUAAUUGUUGUUCGGUGGUCGCGAGGUUUUUCAGGGACGACUAGGGCAAAGGUCGUGGACGUCGAUAUUUGUGAGUAUGUAUGUAGCAAUCGACACAAUUGGAGCAGCUUCUGCGUUCAUGUACACGUCAGAACGCAUUAUUGCUUGGCAUUCGGCGUUUGCUUUUAUGUAACGCUGUUGUUUUUUUGCAAGUGUUCUUUUACCAUCUAAAUAGAGAGAGCGCGAAACGUGCGGCCGUCACUGACGCCGAAACCGAUACACAAACGGCAGGCGUUUUACAUCUGCAUAGCAUACCGACGCGCAACCCAGCGGAACACUCCUUUUCUUCUGCUUUUUUUAUCUUUGGCCUCGAGUCCGUUCCGAUAUCGCCACUUUUGCUGUUCGAUUAUAGCACGAGCUGGCGUUUCUUGUAAACGCGUUCGAUUUGAUCGCGCGGCUCCCACGCGCUUACAAUUGGACUCGGGCCAGGCUAUGCGCGUUAUCGUACUUUACACGCUGCUCUUUCAUCAACUAUGAGUCACUGCUCUCUGGCAUGCACUUCUGUCUCUCUUCCUAUUUCCCUCAACCUCCAUUGUGCUGUAGAGUAUGAUAUACGAUGAUCGAUAAUCCUAAUAAUUGUUUUUAACAACUAAAGUACAAUAUUCCAAAAUGUUUUCUUAAACCUACAAAUGUAUCGUUAUAAUUGCUCAAUAACAUCGCUGUUCUAAUACAAGAAGAAAACAUAAUUACUCUUUGUUGAAGUAAUUUACAAGAUGCAAACGCUUCUGCGGCGCAAACACCAUUGUUGAAAGUAGAAUGCGGAAUAAUCGAAAACAAAGGACCUGUAUGUAUUAGCAUGACACGAGCAUGAGCGAAACACAUGAUACAUUCGUAGCAUCGCAAAAUACUCGCACGUGUUACAAUUUUAUGCAAUUAAUUUCGACACAGGUUCUGUCUCUCAGUCACAGGCCGUUAAGGAGUUAAUGAUAUACAUAUAUUCCUUCUCAUCAUCUUCCGAAAUUUCUUACUACACCAGAUUUGAACUUUUUACAACGGCUCUUGUACUUCUCUUAGCGAAUACCACAGUGAUUUUACUUUUGAACUUUGAGAAAUGUACGAACCUGUUACACGUGUACGCACGUUGGGUCAAAUACUAGGAGCUUCGGUACAUUAUUUUGUCCUGUAAUAGAUUCUAAAAAGAUAUCCUUCGUUUAUAAGUCGUUAGUCGGCAGGACUUUGAAUAUCGUACUGCAUCUUCAACUUUUGUAGAAUUUAUCUUUUAAACGAAUUUCGUGUCUUUGAUCAGUGACCUUUCAAUCUCUUUUACUUUGUGACCUCCUGACAAUUUUCUGGUUCCAAUCAUUUUCUUAUUUUUCACGAGAGCUGGUCACAACAGGUCACCGUUUUAGUUUCAAGUUUCAACAUACGUAUUUACAUUGCAGUUCGUUUACUAAUAAAACAUUUUCACGUGACAUUCGAUGUCAGAAGCAUGAGUUGGAAAAAUAUAAAUUGAAUCCACCGUGAAUUUAAAUAUACGAUAAUAUAUCGACUUUUAUUACAAAAAAAGAUAUAGUACAUCCAACGUGCUAUUUAAACAAUUUCAUUCAGAACAUUGCAUAAAAUAAUAUAAUAUUAUUGUGUCAGUUGCUUGGAUUAUCUUGACGAAAUUUCACGACCUAAUAAUAAUUUCGAUUAUUUCGCUGCGUCAUGUCAACAAAUGCUACUUUGUUAAUGCCGUAAAACGUCAAUUAUCUAGAUAUCAACUAUUCGAACAUCGAUUAUCUGGACUUCCAAUUAUACGGGCGUUGCCUCUCUGACUCCCGAUUAUCCGAGACAUGUAAUCAGAGAUUCUUGUACAUGUAGGUCACCAAGUCGAAAAUCUACUCCUUGUGUACACGCAGAACCUUCCUUACAUUACGCAGAGAAGAAGGUUUUAGGAGAAAUAAUUCUCGGAAAAAUUCAAUUAUUCCGAAUGCGUUUGAAAUAUAAACGAAUUUCUACGUCGUAAGUCUAUUUCAAUAAUACACCAUAUGUGUUCGACGCUUAAAAUAAUUUCAAGUGCCUUCCUCAAUGCCAGUUAAAGUAAAUACACUGCAGAUACCAAAAGCAUAGAAUGUCGUCGAACGUCGUUUAAUCGCACAAAUUGAUAUUCUUAUUCAAAAUUAUUGUAACAUAAUAUUUGAAAAGGAAUUAGAAUAAAUAAUAACGUUAAAGAAAUAUAUUAUAUUUCUCUGCAUGAGCAUAUACGUUAUUCAACGAACUGGAAAGGAAAGUGGUAAAGCGUAUGUUUUCUUUGAUUCAGUUAAACUAUUCCCCUGCUAUUACGAUACGAGAUGACAAUAGCAUCGUUUAGCGAAAAAUUAUUCGCUUGAAGCAGCAUUUCGUACCAAGUAGGUGUAAUCGUAUCGAAGUUAACUUGGAAAAAUAAACGUAUUACAUCAUUUCAAACGAUGCAAGUAAAAUCACACAAGAUUGAACAAAAAUUACAGUUGCAUUCGCAUCGUAAAGCCUUGAAUAAAACGCGGAGAAGGGAAACAAGUUUCCUAUCCAUUAUCACGACGAGCAUGUUGCAACGUCAUUAGCGUAUAAUUUCAUUCCGUGUUGUAUAAUUGCAUAGCAUAAUUGUCGACGACGGAAAAUCCUCCGCGAUACUCUAAUAAUGCGCAAACUUCUCGUCUAUAUGAAACGAACCUUGUCUUCCUCGUGUCUACCGAGUCGUCCCAUUCAUAACGAAAUGAGAACUAUCGUCGUAAAAACUGACCCACAAUAUCGUAAUACAUACAUACAUUCAUCUGUAAAUGAGGAAAAUUCCUUUCUGAUUUUACCUUGACGAUGAAUAUAUCGCUACGUACUCGCUCAUAGCGCACGUCAGGCAUGUUGAUUGUAAAAUAAUAGUAUAGUAUAGUGUGUAGUGUGUAUUGCUGGAAAGAAGACUAGCGUAAGGAAUGCGGAUCUGAUUGCUUAUUUUAUGUAGGCUGAAUGUGAUUCAGAAUCCGUGUAUUGGCCGAAAAUGUCACGUAUACGAACAAGACAAUACUUACAACAACGUGUGACGGUAAACAAUACAAAGUAGAACAAUACCGUCCUUGCCCCUAUGCCGGCCAGCUAGUUUUCUUUUCAGCAAUGCACAACGCAUUACAUAACAUAUACAAAAAAUGCAUUACCGCUUAUGAGCAGAAAAUGUUUAUGCAAAUUCAUAUUUUACGAACGUAUUCAACGACUCGCUAUUUCAUAUCGUUUAUAACACAGUUAUUUUCGUCCGAUUUCUAAUUCUGGGUUCCCAUAACGGUAAUUGACACGUGAAUGGCGGAUGUCUGAUAAGAGUUACGAAAGAAUGACCUCGCGUACCAUAACCUCUUUUAUAACUUAACUGAUAGUAUUGUGAAAUAAUAAUUAUUAUAAGUGAAUAGUGGAGAAGCUUGAAUAGAUCGACUGGUAUAUAAAGUCAUCGUAUAACAAGAUUUAUAAUUAACGCGGAGCGAAAUAAAAUGAUCUAUCUACGAUCGUAAGUCCUUCGAUUUCUACAUAGAUUCCACUCAUCUGCAAUAUAAAAAACUGGCGGUAUUAGAUUCUAAUUAAAAAUAAUAAUUCUAAACGUGUAAUUCUAAUAGAAGAAUUCUCUAAUUCGAAGUGAUUAUGAAAGCUGCCCAAAAACAACGCAAACCCUUAUACGGCGGUAGGUUGUACAUAUACGCUUGUGGAUAACGAGCUUAAGAGAAAAGCUCGCACGCGAAGGGAUUGAAAGAAGAAAGAGCAUGAGUCAGCCACUCGUUCCUUUUCCCGGUACAGACACCUUCUCGAGAGUUCGUGUCCAGACCCGUUACGUCGAAAGAACAAGACGCCUUCGAAGAUGCAGCUACUCCGUGAAAACAUAUCGCAGCUUUCCUGGCCUGGUCUCUCGGUCAAAAGCUCUCGCAGAAGACAAUUCGCUUCCACUUUGCUGUAUCGUUUCUCGACACCGCACCGCGGCAAAGACGCCGAGAAUAAAUCCACGAUACCGAUUUGUCGCCAGUGCCUGGUGAUUUUGGCACGAGGCUCACGUGCCACGAUAAAGCGACGUGCCGAUCGGGACAAAGACGCCGGAACAGCGUUUUCUCCAGUAGCCACCGCACGUUCGACAACCCGACGAAUGUCGUAAGCUCGCUCUGUUCUUCAAAUUCUUUUCCUUUUAUUUCCUCCUGUUUCCUUCCCUUUUCUCCCUUUUCUGUCGCGGAAGAUAUUAUGGUUUGUAGAUCGCGUACGCACGAAGAGAAUCGAAAUUUGCUCCGAGAUCUUUUUCAGAUUUAUUUAUCAGACUCGUUUGAAUAUUUCUGUUAACCCUUUUUAAUGAUUCCGCGAGAAUGGAAUGCUACAUUGUAAAUGUAUACUGCAGAUCUAAAAAGCAAACUUGUCAUUACUUAUUGUCAAAUUUAAAAACUUGCUUAAAGAUUCUCUAAUGCCGCGUUAUUGGGGAUUAUUUUCAAACAUUGUUUUUCAGAUAAUUAUAUAAAAUAGCUUUAUAUAUUACAUUAUUUGAAAUUCUCUCGAAAUCUGCUUCAUCGCUGUGCGUACAACUCGACAGUAGACGAACUAUUUUCUUGCAACAAUUUCAGUUAGGAGUAUCAAUUGAUGCGUGACCCCGAACUUAUGAACGCUGACGUACAAUACAAUACCACGAGUAAUUAUUCGAACGGGUAUAUGUUUGCUAUUUAUCAUUGGAGAGCCCGUAUCUCCGAUUAUGAAUUUGUAUAAUUCAAACCGCAAAAAUCGACAAAGAGAAAUGCUGCUUCCUUUAUUAUGAAAAAUGUAUGGUGUCGAUCAGUGCAAUUAAUGAUCAUGUUUAUCGUUAAAGGCGUUAAGGCAGAUUCGGAGAAAUAUUAAUUUCAAGUAGUGAUAUUUUUCGUAUCGAAUAAGUAUGUUUGAAACUUUAUGGCAAUUCGAAUCAUCACGCGUGACCCAAUUAAUAGUCCUUGAAUCAAGAACGUACAGAUUCUGCUUGAUUUUACGUGGCGCAGGCAUACCAUCACAGCCAAGCUUUAUCUUUCGGGAAUCAAAUCGUCGGUUCAAGAAACAAUCUUUCUGCCGCAAUAAAAUUACAAUUCGCUGUUUUUUUCAACGAAUAACUGAAUCUUUAUACGGUUUAAUUUAAGAACGAUAAACAGAUGAUGGCGAUGUCUGGGUCAUUUCUGACCAGUACAACUUCCUACAUGCAAUUCCAUUGUUAAAUAUGUAAAGAUAGGCUAUUACAGCUACUAUUUAUAGAACUUUACUCAAAGAUUUAUCGAUUAUCAUUCUCGUUACCUAACGGAAGCUAUGUAACUGUCGAAAUUAUAAAUCUAAAGAAACUAAACUACACGCAACGAGAUGCGUAGAAUCAUAAAAUAUUACGAAAAAAUUAUGAAAGAUAUAUAGUCGACCGUCGUAUAACGGGGAGAUACGUUUCGCGUUAUAUGAAGCAGCGUCAUAUACGAUAAUAUGCGUUAUACGAAUCACAUGUAUAUAUUAUAUAUGGAUUAUGGAGAUCCAUUGUACUAGAACAUAACUAGAAAAUUUAUAAUAAAUCGAAAGCUGGAUACAAA